CAUGGAGGGUGAGAAUCCCGUUCAUGGUUAAUCUUAAGGAAGCUCUACGAUACGUUUUCCAAGAGUCGAGUUGUUUGGGAUUGCAGCUCAAAAUGGGAGGUAAAUUUCUCCUAAGGCUAAAUAUUGGCGAGAGACCGAUAGCGAACAAGUACCGUGAGGGAAAGAUGAAAAGAACUUUGAAAAGAGAGUUAAACAGUACGUGAAAUUGUUGAAAGGGAAACGAUUGAAGUCAGUCAUACCAACGGGAAAUCAACCUUUUGAGCUCGGUCUCGUGGGUUUUGAAGAGUUUCAAAGCCUUCGGAUUCGCGGGAUUGGGAUCUCUUGGCGUACUUUUUCGUACGGUUAGUCAACAUCGGUUUUGAAUGUCAUAAAAUGACUGGAGGAAUGUAGCUUCGAUCUCGUAUUGAAGUGUUAUAGCCUUUGGUUGAUGUGAUGUUUGAGACCGAGGAUUGCAACGGAUACCCUUCAGGGCUAUUCGUCUGAUCUCUGAUACGUUGCCUUGAUGUUGAAAGCUUGCUUAUGAUGUUAGGAUAUUACGGUCAAAAGGUUAGAACGAAUUACAUUCGUUAAGGAUGUUGACGUAAUGG
rnacentral:rRNA from 1 species